CGUGCCUCAUGCCGCUCUCCAGCCUGCUCUGGGUGUUCCUGGCCUUCAUCUUCUCUGGAUCUGGUGUGGCCCAGAAAGUUAUUCAAAUCCAGCCAGGCAUAACCAGUCAAGUGGGGGAGGAAAUCACCCUGUACUGUCGGUAUGAAACAAGCUGGAGCAAUUACUACAUUUUUUGGUAUAAGCAACUUCUCAGUGGAGAGAUGACUUUCCUUAUUCGUCAGGUUUCUUCUGGGCAAAAUGCAAGGGCAGGCCGCUAUUCUAUAAACUUUCAGAAAGCAGAUAAAUCCAUCAGCCUCACCAUUUCAGCCUUACAGCUGGAAGAUUCUGCAAAGUACUUCUGUGCUCUCGUGGACCUCACAGUGCUUGAAGUAAUAGGAAACGCCAAACAAAAACCCCAGAGCUCAAUAAGAGAGAGACCUCCUGCUGUGGGAAUCAAGCUAAAAUGCACACCUGCAGACCCCAGACAAGAAAUGAUAGUCCUGUAG